ensembl:lncRNA
UUUUUUUUUUUUUUGUUUUCUUUUACCUCAGAUUAAUUUCAAAGUCAAAAAAGUACAAAUAUACUUGAACUUGCUACCAGUGAGAUACCAGUGCCACCAGUGAGCACUUCAAACCAUGCCCUUCCUUCAGACUGAUUUAAUUCAUGUUUUAAGAUGGUAACAUUUACAAAGAAACAAAGACUAAGAAUAUAAAAAAAAGACACAACGUGGGGAUAUUGUGCAGGUAUAACUGGAUUAAGCUGAGAUUUUAACAGCAACAUCAGUGAAUUCAUUGCUUAAAAUCACACUGAAAGUUCUGAUUCCAAAAAUCAAAGGCAUUUGACACCAAACUGCAGUAAUAAUUAUUUUUUCUUUCAAUAAAAUUGUCAGGAACAAUUAACAAUGAAAUACAGAGAGCCUGUGAAUGUCAGCAAACUUGCAGCUACUUUUUUAAAAGAAUUUUGCUUUUAAAGUGUGCUAAUAUACUAAAGGAAAAACCAGAAAGUUUGGGAUGUAAAUGCAGGUAGCCUCUUCAUGGUAAGAAUAAACAGCAGUUUAAUCAGGUUGAAUCAGAUCUCUAUUGAAUCUUACAAAAGAAUAUGUAGGGGUCAUUAAGUCAAACCCUGGAAGCUCUGGGGUUUCAAGAGUACUCAGGUUUAUCAAUAUUACUAAAUCAAGGGGUAAUUCAGGUCAAAAAUAUUUUGUUGCUUCCAGAGCAGAGGCUCAUAGUGAUUAUGUAACAAAAAAAGAUGCAAGUCUUUAAAUAAAUUAUUGUUGGAAUCUUUUACCAUAUCCUGAAUAGGUAAAUAUUUCAAAUAUAGUUGUAUACAUAUUAUUUCCAAUAUCAGACAUUUGAAUUUGAUUGUAAUAAAAUGCUGCUUUCUCAACAUUUUCACAGAAUAAUUUUCCCAACCAGACAUUCCCCCUUCUCCAGAAGAUUGAUAUUUUAGUGAAGAAAAUCUAAACAGAUUUAAAAAACUUUUUUCUUUUCUUUGUCCCCUCAACCAAAAUCUAAUUUAAAUUUAUCUACAUUUUGAAGCAAAGGACCAUGAUUAAAUUGCUUUACACUACGUUUUGAUGUGGCAAAUCUGAGUAUCUGACAGUAAAACUUCUAAUUUUCCCCUCUCUCCUUUUCUCUCUCUCAGUUUGGUCAAUGGAAAAAGCAGAAUGAAUUUCCUUUUCACUUUUAAUCAUGGUCACCUACUUUCACACUGAAGUAUUUCAUGUUCUAGAGCAGUCCCACAAUGUUUCUGUCAAAGACAUCUCUGAGGAUCAUUCAUUUGAUUUUAGUACUUCUCCAGAGGUGCUGGAGUGAAAAAUUCAUUCUGUAAAAUUUAAUUUGUUAGGCACUUAGCUGAUCUUAGAGUGUUAAGGAGGUGGAGUCGCAUGGAGAUACACCUGUUUCCUUCAAUGCAUAGAAGGUGCCUAAAUACCACUAAAGUAGGUAUCUCAGUUACAUACCUAAUGUAAGCAAGGACAAUUCUAGGCAAAAUCAUGGGAUAUCUUUUUUUUUUUUUUUUUUAAUGCAAGCAAACAGGGACUCAAUAUUUCCUAUUGUGUUUUCUCACCAUGAUGGCAAUGUCCUCUCAAGAGGAAAAGCAUCAUGCCAUAAGUGCUGUUUCCUUCCAUACAUUUGGAAGGUGAGGCUGAUUUUGUUAAUUCACUUUGACCCUCUACAUCAUGGCUGUAAAUGCCCUCAGAUAUUUGUCAUAGUCCCUAGGUUAUUCUAAAGCUGGUCAUUCAAGAUGUAAUGCAUGUUAACUGACCCUAGAAAGCUACGAUGUAGACGUGAAUGAGCGCUUUUAUCCUUGGCUUCCUUUAUACAUAGUUGAGAAAAGUACAUACUUUUAGGGCAUGAUUCAUCAUUGCUUUGAGGUGAGAUAAACUGCAUACUGUAAGGGCCUUUUUCUCUCUGCUGAUUGUAGGGAGAGGAGGAUGAUUAAUCUAGUUGCAGUCAUGUACAAUGCAAAAUGACACUGUUACAUUCUAGCUAUUAUCUGUGAAGAAUAACAGGCACUUCCAGAUGAUCCCUUCUACCUAUCCUAGAUACUUGGUGUGCCAGUCAAGGGGCCACCCAUGGAUAUCUAGUGUUAUCUUCUGGGAUCCUCCAGUUCCUCCUCAGGUGAGUCCAGUUCUCCUCUAGGUUUCGUGUUGUAUUGGUCAAAACUCUGUGACUGUCUUAGAUACUCUAAAAUAUCUCAACGGGUUCUGAACAUUUACAUGUGGACAACUGUAGUAUUUCCUACCACACAGAGAUGAACUGUCCCUUGGAAGAAAAGGUCUGGUUCUGCUGAUCUUAAAAAGAGUUUAGAUGGCCAGUAUAGCCCCACCCUGUAAUACCAAUCCUGCCUAACUUUCUCAAUAAAGUGAUGUCAGAGGAACAAGAAAAGGAAUGGAAUAAAAUUCUUGUUGAAGAAGUUAGAAUGUGGCUGGAAAAAGCCUCUUGAGCUCAAUCUAUGUCUCCAAUGUUUUCUGUGUGAGGACGAGUGGUAAAAAGUAGUAUUUCAAAAGUACAUUAGCAAGGUUAUUACUACGUAGCUGCUGUGGACUAAGCCAAUCUGUCUUAUUUGUCAUUUUGGUUUUGUUUUAUUUUGUUUUCUUUUAGGAAAUGAGUGGAUUCUGUUAGACCUCUGCAUCUCAGCUGUAUUUCUAAAGACAAUAAAGCUGCAGAAAUAAGCUGAAGAAAAGAAAGCAUUAUAAAAUCAAGGCAACAGAAAAGAUGGCUCUAAUUGCCUGGAUAGAACCUGUUAAAUAGAGACCCAGGUAUGGCAGACUGCCGUGUUAUAGGGCCAGGGGCUGAGAAGACAGAGGACAGAAGCCCAUGCUGUCAUUUAAUCUGAAGUUCGCAGAGGCAUGAGGGCUUUUAUUGAAGCUAUCAAGGUUGUUUUUUUCUUUCACUUUUGUCUGCCAUGCUCUUUUCAAAAGAGACACCAUGUUUGCUGCUUGAGGACAGAUUCCGAGCAGGUUCUGGCCUCAUUCCAGUGCAGCUUUAUUGUACAUUCCCACGUGGGGAUGAGUAGCCCCCAACACCAAACAGUUCAUUUGUCCCAUGACCCAAGAAUUCCUCUUUUGCCAGGUUUCCAUAUUGUUUUCCCAAUGGUGAGUAGAUCAGGCAAUUCCGAUGGAUCAGAGGAAGCCCUUCUUUCAAUCUAUCCAGCAUGCAAGCAAAGUCAGGAUACUGGAACUGCAUGUCCCACAACCAAAGCACUGGCCCUAACUCUGCUGCUGGAGAAGAAAGUGCUUCAAAUUUCAUGUGCCACCUCAGCCAAGUCCAGAAGUGCUUAUAAAAAACAGUGUUAGUG